rnacentral:rRNA from 1 species
UACGUAGGGUGCAAGCGUUGUCCGGAAUUAUUGGGCGUAAAGAGCUUGUAGGCGGUUUGUCGCGUCUGCUGUGAAAUUUCGGGGCUCAACCCCGAACUUGCAGUGGGUACGGGCAGACUAGAGUGUGGUAGGGGAGACUGGAAUUCCUGGUGUAGCGGUGAAAUGCGCAGAUAUCAGGAGGAACACCUAUGCGAAGGCAGCUCGCUGGGACGUAACUGACGCUGAGACGCGAAAGCGUGGGGAGCAAACAGG